GGCGCGGUACCCAAGUGGCAAGGGAGAGGUCUGCAAAACCUUCACUCGUGGGUUCGAUUCCCACCCGCGCCUCCA
rnacentral:tRNA from 1 species